rnacentral:rRNA from 1 species
GACGAACGCUGGCGGCGUGCUUAACACAUGCAAGUCGUACGGUAAGGCCCUUUCGGGGGUACACGAGUGGCGAACGGGUGAGUAACACGUGAGUAACCUGCCCACAACUUUGGGAUAACGCUAGGAAACUGGUGCUAAUACUGGAUAUGUUCUCCUGCUGCAUGGUGGGGGUUGGAAAGUUCCGGCGGUUGUGGAUGGACUCGCGGCCUAUCAGCUUGUUGGUGGGGUAGUGGCCUACCAAGGCGGCGACGGGUAGCCGGCCUGAGAGGGUGACCGGCCACAUUGGGACUGGGAUACGGCCCAGACUCCUACGGGAGGCAGCAGUGGGGAAUAUUGCACAAUGGGCGCAAGCCUGAUGCAGCAACGCCGCGGGCGGGAUGACGGCCUUCGGGUUGUAAACCGCUUUCAGCAGGGACGAAGCUUUUUGUGACGGUACCUGCAGAAGAAGCACCGGCUAACUACGUG